rnacentral:rRNA from 1 species
UAGGGAAUCUUCCACAAUGGGCGAAAGCCUGAUGGAGCAACGCCGCGUGAGUGAGGAAGGCUUUCGGGUCGUAAAGCUCUGUUGCCAGGGAAGAAUAAGGAUCAUUUAACUGAUGAUCCGAUGACGGUACCUGAGAAGAAAGCCCCGGCUAACUACGUGCCAGCAGCCGCGGUAAUACGUAGGGGGCAAGCGUUGUCCGGAAUUAUUGGGCGUAAAGCGCGCGCAGGCGGCUCUUUAAGUCUGGUGUUUAAGUGCGGGGCUCAACCCCGUGACGCACUGGAAACUGGGGAGCUUGAGUGCAGAAGAGGAGAGCGGAAUUCCACGUGUAGCGGUGAAAUGCGUAGAGAUGUGGAGGAACACCAGUGGCGAAGGCGGCUCUCUGGACUGUAACUGACGCUGAGGCGCGAAAAGCGUGGGGAGCAAACAGGAUUAGAUAGCCCUGGUAGUCCACGCCGUAAACGAUGAGUGCUAGGUGUUGGGGGUAUCAUGCCCUCGGUGCCGAAGUUAACACAUUAAGCACUCCGCCUGGGGAGUACGGUCGCAAGACUGAAACUCAAAGGAAUUGACGGGGGUCAUGAGCUG